CAAAAGAUUCACCAGCAAACUCUGGCUCUACAAACGCAGAGAUUUUCCUUAUUCCGUUGGCCCGGGUCAUUCCCACACGCUUCUCGAUCAACGUGAUUGAUUUUACGAACCUCCUCGAUCAACCGGAACAUCGUCAGAUUUUCUUAAUAUAAAUUCCUCGGACAAGAAACGCUGAUACAAAUCCAAAUGAUAACAAUGGCCAGCUCGGUCGAAACUUCAACUUCUCGUCAAGGUGAAACCGAGACCAGAAAUGGGCACGCACGAACGAAAUUAAACGAGGAUGUAUUUGUGACAAUAAUUAAGGAAUCGAAGGACACUCGAUGCACAAAAGCUCUUUUGCAAGUGCUAGCUCAACGUAAACGAGAGAGGGUUUGGUUUUCGCCGUGAGGGUGAAAUAGCGGGAGAGGGGAAGGAGAGAGGUUGAAUUUUACCGAAGCACAAAAGCUCUCCCGGAGAACCACUAAAGAGAAGGAAAGCGCUCAUAGUCCCCUGAGGCGUGUACGCCGGAUUCACGAUGGUUCGCGACCCUGACUAUAACCAUGCAACGUACCAAGAGACUACCACCAGAAAACCAACCGCCUUCUACAUAGGUACAACAUGACAAUGUGGCUCCCAUUUCCGGUAAACUUUUCAUGCGACCACCAAACGGUGGCCACAUGAAUCCAUUUAUACUUUUAAAUGCAUUUUUUUUCUUAUUCAUUUGCCUUCGAUUUUUCACGACUUAUACCUUCUCAAAUGGGUAUAUAUGAAAGCGAAUUUGUCUCGUCGACUGAUAAAACCGCGCUAAGAAUGGCUCUCUCGCACCAUUCAUGUGCGAUACAAUUGCGUUAGAAAUAAAAAAAUUGUUCAACCACCAAAAUCGGAUUUCAUCAAACUCAAUAUUUUAUUUAUUAUUAUGCAUUUUUGGGAUCCGAUAUUAUUCGACGAAAAAAUGUACUAUAUAUUACACGUACAAUUGUAUCGAUGAAAAGAAAGAAUUUGAAUGCAACUCGAAAUUAUGCUGUCGACUGGUGCUUUCAACCAGUAGUUUCAUUUUUCACACACUGCUUCCCUCUCUAUCGGUAAAAUAUCAUAUUCAUUCGACCCAUUUAUAUAUCAAUAAUAAGACUGCUUUUCUCGUUCGACUGAUAUAUCUGCUGGCAAGGUAUUGAAAGGUGAGAUGCGAUUGUCGAUAAGUAAAGAAAAUCUUGGAACCUCCGGGCAG